UACGGGGGGGGGUAAGCGUUGUUCGGAAUUACUGGGCGUAAAGGGCUCGUAGGCGGCCAACUAAGUCGGACGUGAAAUCCCUCAGCUUAACUGGGGAACUGCGUCUGAUACUGGAUGGCUUGGAUUUGGGAGAGGGAUGCGGAAUUCCAGGUGUAGCGGUGAAAUGCGUAGAUAUCUGGAGGAACACCGGUGGCGAAGGCGGCAUCCUGGACCAACAUUGACGCUGAGGCGCGAAAGCUAGGGGAGCAAACGGG
rnacentral:rRNA from 1 species